GGGGGGGGGUUUGGGUGAAGAGGGUUGUGGUUAAUCCUAAAAUCUGACAAGAAAUUUUGUUGCUUAAAUAUUUUUGUUUGUAAAGUAUUUAUUAAAAAGUAUUGGUAAAGUCCCAGGCUAUGUGUAGGUCAGCGAUGAUAAUGUGAUAGUUCUUAUCAGUGUUUUUUUUAAUAUAUCCAUAAAUGUAGACAGUUAAAUGUGGCUGUGAGCAUUGAACCAUUCAGUGCAAUUACCUGUUAAAAACCCAGUAAUACUAUUUUAUUGUAUAUACUUGUAUGGAUUUGCGAAAUUAUACUUCAUUUUAAUGUUUUAUAAUAAUUGUAUAAUUUUCAAAGUGAUUCCUAGCUCCUCCAGUUAUAGAAUUUAAAAAGGCUGAGAUUCAUUUGGGUGCACACACCUUGCCUUAUGAAAGUGAAAACUUUUUAAUGAUCAUAAAACAGUAUUAAAUGUUUUCUCACUAUUGUUGUAAAGAGAACCCAUGGUGAGCUUAGCUAUGAAGGAAAGAACUAAUCGUAAAAUAUUUUGUCUUUUAACUAAAGAAUUGUUUUUUCUUUAACCCUACUUCCAAUAUUUAGUCGUUUUUUGUAGGUUUUUUUUUUAAUAUAUAAUUCUUCAAUAAUUUUUGUCAGGACUUGAUUUUGGAAAUCUUUACAAUACUUGUUAAUGAUGUUUUAUCUACUAAUUGUUUAUGCUUAACAUUUUGAUAGAUCUUUGAUUGAAGAUGUAUUAGUCUUAUGACUAAUGUAAAACCUUUGCAAGAAAAACAAAAUACUAUUAUUUGUAAAGAAUAUCUUGAGGUCAUCAGACUGUCUUAGCUUGUUCAUGUUCACUAGGAAACUUUCACAAUGUUUGGGUUGUUGUUGUUUUUUUUAUAUGCUUCUGAAAAUUGACCUGAGGUCCCUAAGCCCAUGGUCAUCAAAAUAAAAUUAUUGCUUUUUUAGUGUAUUGAAAUAUACAAAAACAAAUGAAAGAAAAACAGGUACUAGGCAGAAAGGAAAUAUCAAAUUUUAGCUAAUUCUACGCAAGACAAAUUUUGUGGCACUUGUAUUUUAUAAACUGAUAUUAAAUCCACAGGGGUAUAUAUUAGUGUGGGAAAUGGUGUGUGUUGCUCAGUAUUGUAUAUGAUAAUGUAGAUUGUGAGCCUAGAAAAAAUUCCAGUUUUGUAUACAUUUCAAAGCAUAUUAUAUAGAUCAAAAAAUGAAUAUAAAAUUACAUAAAAUUAUUUUUAAAAAAUUUUAAUUGAAAAUGAAACAGUGUU